GGCCUACGGGGGGCAGCAGUGAGGAAUAUUGGUCAAUGGGCGAGAGCCUGAACCAGCCAAGUCGCGUGAAGGAUGAAGGAUCUAUGGUUUGUAAACUUCUUUUAUAUGGGAAUAAAGUGAGGAACGUGUUCCUUUUCGUAUGUACCAUAUGAAUAAGCAUCGGCUAACUCCGUGCCAGCAGCCGCGGUAAUACGGAGGAUGCGAGCGUUAUCCGGAUUUAUUGGGUUUAAAGGGUGCGCAGGCGGGAGAUCAAGUCAGCGGUAAAAUGUCGGGGCUCCACACCGGCCGGCCGUUGAAACU
rnacentral:rRNA from 1 species